GUUCGUUCCUCAACAUAUACUGAAAUUGGAACAAUACAGAGUAGAUCCUGCGCAAGGAUGACACGCAAAAUCGUGAAACGUCCUAAAGGAUU